CUAGAAACUCUUGUACAAAGCUAUUUCAAGCCAUUAGUUGCCCUGUUGUAAUUGAUGGAUUACUGCAUUACCAUUUAAUUUAGUAUUGUUUUCAAGGCAUUACAUUCUGUUUCAUUUAAGUUAAUUGUGUGGCCAAGUAAGGAAAGAACUUGCUUUGUGAGCAUGAGUGAUGCAAGCAUGGAUUCCUCCUGAUUUCAGAGGUAUAAUGGGAUGUGAUCCAUAGAGCAAUUCCAUACAAGGCCCUCCAGUUAGCAUUACCUUCCAAUUUAUGGAAACAAGAAAUGAGGGAAUGGACCAGAAGAUUGCAUGGCAUUUGGAUUCAACAUUGUGAUAGUCUUCUCUGCAAAUGGAAAUUAACAUCAAUUAUUCAAAUCUAGUUAUGCUUUCAACCCUCUUAAUUGCAAAGUGUUUUCCAUUCAGUGAUCAACACCAAUUCCCUAAACAUAAUAGCAAUUAUGACUGUUGCUAUUCAGAGGAAUCCAGAGGAAUCCUCUGAAUAGCAUCCAGAGGACAAUAUACUCUCUUUGGCCCAGUUUUCAGCUCUGAUAUGACCUCUUUAUGUGGCUUUUUACACAGAGGGGUUGUUAAGAUGGAGCAACUGUUUAUUUUUUUGCAUAGAACACAUCCCAGGACUGUUGAGAAGCGUGGGCUAUAACCUUGUUUAUUGACCCAGCAUUAAAACAGGGAAAAUACAAUGGGUGGGAUUCUCCUGCCAGAAUACAACCCCAACAAAGUACAACAAAACUAGACAUAAGUAUCUACUUUAGAUAGAAUUCCUUAAGUACCUGAGACACCUUCACAAGGGCAGAGAAUGGGAUAUAGGACUGAGGAAGAUCCAUGGCAGCUGGAGACAAGGCUGGAGAGUAUGAAAGUUUGGAUAGUAGCAAUAAGGACCCAAUUCUGCCUGGAGAAGCAAAAUUAAUGUUGCCUCAGUGGGUCAGCUUUUCUGCUUACUUCAUUCCUGCUUAUGAGAGUUUUAAUUGCAUGUGCAGGUAAGAUAAAUUCCUGGUCUGAAGUCUAGGCCAAAUUUCUGAUUUGUUUUUAACUCAAAACCUCAUAAAAUGACCACAUGCUGACUCCCUGAUCCAGGGUGUAUCUUCUUGGUAUUUGACAGUUCCCAGGCUCUCUUGAUAUGCCCCUACUGCACAGGGGCACUUGUUCAGAAUUAAUACAAAGUAAUACAAAUGUACUCAUAAAAUUAAUUUGGAAGUACACCCCCUUUGCACAGACUCCCACAAAUGGUUUGAGAAGACAUUUUUUGGAUUUUUGGUAGCAAGCAGCCUAGUUAUGUCAUUUUAUUUUGUGACAGAAAGCAUUUGUGGAAUCUCAGAGGCAGACUCCCAGCUAGCAUAAUUUGCCAUCUCUCCCUUGGAUUGCCACUGUUUUAUUGCAGCUCAAGAAUCUGGCCAUGACUCCUGUUCCACUCUGACUUUUGUGAUUCCUGUGUGCCCCAUAUAUCCCUAUUUUAUUAAACCACACUGAGGAGGAGGGGUGCCUUUCCUUUGUGCCACUCCAGAAAUACAAAACAACUUAAUUGGCCAGAGCAGGCAGGUUUACAGCUGCUUUAUGUUGACAAAAAGGCACAAAGGAGCCAGACAGUACGACUGAAACGAGGUCUGUAGCUCAUAGUGGCAAGAUGUAUAAAGCAGUGUAUGAAUUGUAAAUACAUUUAGAUUUGACAAUAAGUCUUCUCAUAGCCCUUUCCUAGAGCUAGAUGCUCAUAU
ensembl:lncRNA